ACCUAUAUAGCUUAUAUUAGAGCAUUGUGUUGAAGCUACAAGGGAAGUAAUUGUAUACUUGUAGGUA
rnacentral:tRNA from 1 species